rnacentral:lncRNA from 1 species
UGAUAUUGAUACUGAAAAGGGCUUAAGCCCAGACUGUGAUUAUCUGUUUACUGUCUAUUCAUUUGUAUGGGGAUUACACACUUAGUUUACGUAAACUCACCCCUUCUGUUUAAUCUGUACAGGUAAUCCCCAGAUAUAGGCGGAUCAAUGCGGCGGAGGACUCAUUGGUGGCCACACAGCUUUAUUUACACUGUUUAUUGUUUACUUGUGAUUUUACUUUUAUUUGGGAGUAUUUUGUUGUAAUUAUGGCCUUUAC